rnacentral:tRNA from 1 species
AAAUCCGCCGCCUUUAUAAAUCGUGAGGGUUCAAGUCCCUCUAUCCCC